UAAGCGGAGGAAAAGAAACCACCAGGGAUUGCCUCAGUAGCGGCGAGUGAAGCGGCAAAAGCUCAAAUUUGAAAUCUGGCGUCUUUGGCGUCCGAGUUGUAAUUUGAAGAAGGUAUCUUUGGGCCCGGCUCUUGUCUAUGUUCCUUGGAACAGGACGUCACAGAGGGUGAGAAUCCCGUGCGAUGAGAUGACCCGGGUCUGUGUAAAGUUCCUUCGACGAGUCGAGUUGUUUGGGAAUGCAGCUCUAAGUGGGUGGUAAAUUCCAUCUAAAGCUAAAUAUUGGCGAGAGACCGAUAGCGAACAAGUACAGUGAUGGAAAGAUGAAAAGAACUUUGAAAAGAGAGUGAAAAAGUACGUGAAAUUGUUGAAAGGGAAGGGCUUGAGAUCAGACUUGGUAUUUUGCAUGCUGCUCUCUCGGGGGCGGCCGCUGCGGUUUACCGGGCCAGCAUCGGUUUGGAGCGGCAGGAUAAUGGCGGAGGAAUGUGGCACGGCUUCUGCUGUGUGUUAUAGCCUCUGACGAUACUGCCAGCCUAGACCGAGGACUGCGGUUUUUACCUAGGAUGUUGGCAUAAUGAUCUUAAGUCGCCCGUCUUG
rnacentral:rRNA from 1 species